rnacentral:rRNA from 1 species
UACGUAGGGGGCAAGCGUUGUCCGGAUUUAUUGGGCGUAAAGAGCGUGUAGGCGGCCAGAUAGGUCAGCUGUGAAAACUCGAGGCUCAACCUCGAGACGUCGGUUGAAACCAUCUGGCUAGAGUCCGGAAGAGGAGAGUGGAAUUCCCGGUGUAGCGGUGAAAUUCGUAGAUAUCGGGAGGAACACCGGUGGCGAAGGCGGCGACCUGGGUCGAUACUGACGCUGAGGUGCGAAAGCGUGGGGAGCAAACAGG